GACGAACGCUGGCGGCGUGCUUAACACAUGCAAGUCGAACGGAAAGGCCUUUUCGGAGGUACUCGAGUGGCGAACGGGUGAGUAACACGUGGGUGAUCUGCCCUUCACUCUGGGAUAAGCCUGGGAAACUGGGUCUAAUACCGGAUAGGACCGCACUUUAGUGUGUGUGGUGGAAAGUUUUUUCGGUGUAGGAUGAGCACGCGGCCUAUCAGCUUGUUGGUGGGGUAAUGGCCUACCAAGGCGGCGACGGGUAGCCGGACUGAGAGGUUGGUCGGCCACAUUGGGACUGAGAUACGGCCCAGACUCCUACGGGAGGCAGAAGUGGGGAAGAUUGAACAAUGGGCGCAAGCCUGAUGCAGCGACGCCGCGUGGGGGAUGACGGCCUUCGGGUUGUAAACUCCUUUCGCCAGGGACGAAGCGUUUUGUGACGGUACCUGGAGAAGAAGCACCGGCUAACUACGUG
rnacentral:rRNA from 1 species